rnacentral:rRNA from 1 species
AUUGAACGCUGGCGGCAGGCCUAACACAUGCAAGUCGAACGGUAGCACAGAGAGCUUGCUCUCGGGUGACGAGUGGUGGACGGGUGAGUAAUGUCUGGGAAACUGCCCGAUGGAGGGGGAUAACUACUGGAAACGGUAGCUAAUACCGCAUAACGUCGCAAGACCAAAGUGGGGGACCUUCGGGCCUCACACCAUCGGAUGUGCCCAGAUGGGAUUGGCUAGUAGGUGGGGUAAGGGCUCACCUAGGCGACGAUCCCUAGCUGGUCUGAGAGGAUGACCAGCCACACUGGAACUGAGACACGGUCCAGACUCCUACGGGAGGCAGCAGUGGGGAAUAUUGCACAAUGGGCGCAAGCCUGAUGCAGCCAUGCCGCGUGUAUGAAGAAGGCCUUCGGGUUGUAAAGUACUUUCAGCGGGGAGGAAGGCGGUGAAGUUAAUAACUUCACCGAUUGACGUUACCCGCAGAAGAAGCACCGGCUAACUCCGUGCCAGCCGCCGCGGUAA